rnacentral:misc_RNA from 1 species
GAUGAAGAACGUAGCGAAAUGCGAUAAGUAAUGUGAAUUGCAGAAUUCAGUGAAUCAUCGAAUCUUUGAACGCACCUUGCGCCCUUUGGCCAUUCCGAAGGGCAUGCCUGUUUGAGUAUCAUGAACACCUCAACUCUUUAUGGUUUUCCAUGAUGAGCUUGGACUCUGGGGGUUUUGCUGGCUCACAGUCGGCUCCUCUAAAAUGAAUCAGCUUACCAGUGUUUGGUGGGUAUCAUGGGUGUGAUAACUAUCUACGCUUGUGGUUUUUCCACCAGGUAACCUUCAGCAGUGGAGGUUCGCUGGAGCUCAUAGAUGUCUCUCCUCAGUGAGGACAGCCCUUUGAAUGUUUGAUCUCAAAUCAGGUAGGACUACCCGCUGAACUUAAGAAUAUCAAUAAGCGGAGGA